CCAUUUGCCCGGGCCCAAGAAAGAAACAAAAGAACCCAUACCAGCAGACCCACCAACUCCGCCGUUCACUUGCUGGCCGCCGCACGUCCCAUCGCUGCUCACCUGCCCUUCUGACACCACCCACUCCACUGCGCCACCCGCUCCAAGUCAAUCACCAUGCAACAAGGAAGCAAACACGCAACAGUCAAAGAAAAGAAAGGAAAAAGAAAACAAAAAAAAUAGGAAUUAAUAUCGGCUAUAAAAGCCAUGCAUAUAACUCUUUUUUGGGGUCUUCCCUGGCAACUUUUGUAACAAAACAAGAAUAGAUUCAACCGAAAGAAAAUAAAAAAGGCAGAUUCAAG
rnacentral:lncRNA from 1 species